rnacentral:rRNA from 1 species
GACUAAAAGGGGAAGUAAAAUUUAUAAGUAAAGUAGUAUAUUUGAUUUUAUAAAUAUAAAGAUUGUUGUAUAAAUAAAGAAGUCAAAUGUGUAAUUUAGAUUAUUCGGUUUAUAUUAUAAAUGGGUUAAAAUCUAUAAAAUAUUAGAUAUAAAUUAGGAUUAGAUACCCUGUUAUUCUAAUAAGAAAUUUAAAAUACUUGAGUAGUAAAUAGGUAUGAACUAGAAACUUAAAGAAUUUGGCGGUAUUUUAUUCUUAUUAGAGGAGGUUGCCCUGUAAACGAUAUAACGCGUAGGAUCUUUCUUCUUUUUGUAAUUACAGGCUUGUAUAUCGUCAUUAUAAAUAUUUUGUAAAAUUAUAUAUUAAGAUAAAUUAAUUAUUAAAUAUAUUAGAUCAAGGUGCAGCUUAUAAGGAAGUAUGCGGUGAGCUACAAUAAAAUUUAAUUUAAAUGGAUUUAAAAAUUGAAAGUUAUUUUUUUGAAGGUGGAUUUAAAAGUAAUCAUAUUUUUAAUAAGGUGUUAUGAAUGUUGAGCUCUAAAAUAUGUACAUAUCGCCCGUCACUCUCGCUUGAAAAUAAGGUAACGU